AGCAGUAGCCGCGGGAAUACGUAGGGCGCAAGCGUUAUCCGGAAUUAUUGGGCGUAAAGAGCUCGUAGGCGGUUUGUCGCGUCUGCCGUGAAAGUCCGGGGCUCAACCCCGGAUCUGCGGUGGGUACGGGCAGACUAGAGUGAUGUAGGGGAGACUGGAAUUCCUGGUGUAGCGGUGAAAUGCGCAGAUAUCAGGAGGAACACCGAUGGCGAAGGCAGGUCUCUGGGCAUUAACUGACGCUGAGGAGCGAAAGCAUGGGGAGCGAACAGGAUUAGAUACCCCAGUAGUCCCUGUCUCUUAUAC
rnacentral:rRNA from 1 species